CCUACGGGUGGCAGCAGUGAGGAAUAUUGGUCAAUGGACGAGAGUCUGAACCAGCCAAGUAGCGUGAAGGAUGACUGCCCUAUGGGUUGUAAACUUCUUUUAUAAAGGAAUAAAACGAGGCACGUGUGCUUUUUUGUAUGUACUUUAUGAAUAAGGAUCGGCUAACUCCGUGCCAGCAGCCGCGGUAAUACGGAGGAUCCGAGCGUUAUCCGGAUUUAUUUGGUUUAAAGGGAGCGUAGAUGGGUUGUUAAGUCAGUUGUGAAAGUUUGCGGCUCAACCGUAAAAUUGCAAUUGAUACUGGCAGUCUUGAGUACAGUUGAGGUAGGCGGAAUUCGUGGUGUAGCGGUGAAAUGCUUAGAUAUCACGAAGAACUCCGAUUGCGAAGGCAGCUUACUAAACUGCCACUGACAUUGAGGCUCGAAAGUGUGGGUAUCAAACAGGAUUAGAUACCCGAGUAGUC
rnacentral:rRNA from 1 species